UCUGUUCUACCCUCCACAGCUGACGCGUCGGUAGGACCACUGCUCCAACAGGGACAGAUGUCUCAAGCGGGAAGAAAUGAGGAGUCACUGUUGGACGAUGCAACGCAGAUUGAUGAGGGUGGGUUUCACGCCAACGGACCAGGUGAUGUUGUCCCAGCCAUGCAGGGACAGGAAGCCGAGGGACGUGGCCGUGGUGCCUCUCCGAGGCGUGGAGGU